rnacentral:lncRNA from 1 species
ACCACUUUCCAGUUAAAGCGGUUUGGUGUAAUAUCAUUGAAACAUGUUACUUGCGGCGCCAUAUCUGCAUGAUACAUGGAAUAGAAAAUCAGUGUACGUGCUCCUUUCAGAUUGAUAUUAUUUUUAUAAGAUAUUUUUAUAUAGUACGGAACAACUUUUAAUUUGGUAACUUCGAACAGUUUGCACAAAAAAAUGGCAUCAAUUAUAUGACAACGUGCAGUACAAAUGAAUUGCUGGGUUUGCCAUGCAUAAGCCCCUGCUCCUAUUAAUUAAUUAACUAAUUAAUUAAUUAAUUAAUUAGGACCUAUCAGUUUAUAACUCGUCAAAUUUAAUUUAAUGCAUGUGCUAUUUUGUACUUAGGUGUUCAUAAAAUUUAAUUUAUGCACCCAGAGGGGCUUGACUUUUCAAAGUGCAACACUGAACUUUUUCUAAUUAAUCACGUGAUUAAUUUAGCCACACUCAAUUUUUAAUUUAGUUUUUUUUUAAAGUAAAAAUUAGCAAUUGUUUUUUUUUUUUUUGAGAAAAGAAAAUUUUCAUAUCAGAGCAUUGAUUCAAAUAUUACAAUGUUUUGAAUUUCCAGUGGCAAAGAACCGGAAAGAGUCGGAUCUUUAAAAGAUAACUGAGCUAAAGCAUGAGCAGCACCAUUCCCAUUCCGACGGAUAUGGAGAGUAGAGAAAACCUCGAAACAUGGUAUAAUAGCAUGAAUGUCCGCAAUAAGAUUUCCAUAUGGCGAUCGAUCCUCGUCCUCGCCUUCAAUCGCUUUGAUGACCACUGUAGAAUCGCCUUCAAUAACCACUUUCCGCCAGGCUUUGUCCCGAGCCAAUUCAACCGCCAGCAAAGCUGCUUUUGCUUCUGCUGAAGUAGGAUCUAGAGGCUGAUGAAUGCAAAUCGACAUCCAACCCACACAACCACCACAAUGGUCUCGAGCAAUGAUCCCCACACCAACUAAUCCAUCAUUGGCAUUAACGGCUGCAUCAAAAUUAAUUUUAAUGACGCCCGUACUAGGCAACAACCAUCGACUAUCGGACGUUACUCUUAGAGCCUGAUUUGACAAAACUCUAGCAGAGGGUUGUCGAAGCUGGUUCAUAAAUUUUUGCGCGAGUGAGAUAGUAGUAAGAGCGUCAACCUCUUCGUCUUCAAAUAAGAAGCGGUUGCGAUAGAACCAAAUAGUCCAACAAACAGUCACACACAUCUCAAAACCUCCGGUAUCCGUCAAUUUUCGCAUGUUAGCAAACCAAUCCACCAUAUCGUUCCCCCGCCACUGAUACACGCUCCAAGGAAUAUUACUCAAAGCCCAAACUUGCCUCGCAAAGGAGCAUAACACAAAACAAUGCCGCAAGUCUUCAUCAUCAGCUCCACAUAUUCCACAACAAGACUCUGAUGUUACCUUACGUCGCCGCAAAUUAGUUCUAGUCGGCAACAAAUUUUUACAAACUCGCCAAACAAAAAUUUUAAUUUUAUUUGGGACACUCAUAGACCACACCCAUUGCCAUGUAUUAAGUAAAGCACCAGAGGAGCUACUCGCCGCUUGAUUCGCUCUUUCAUUUUCCAGCCGAACGGCAAGGUGGUAAGCACUACAAACUGUAAACCUCCCAUUACGCUCAUAGUGCCAAACUUGUGUAUCCCCAUUGCAAGCCCGUCCUAAUGGAAUUGAGAGUAUAUAGGCCCAACGCACAGACGUCGACUAAACUACUUAUGAAUGAACAUUUGUAAAAUGUAGGACUCGGAGAUAAAUUCAAAUAAUAUAUAUAGGCCCAACGCACAGACGUCGACUAAAGAAAACGAAAAAACAUCUUCACCUUUUAACGACCCUUUCUCUUGAAUCAUAAAACCAUAAAAAUUGAAAAAAAAAAAAACAAACAAACAACACAUGCUUCAGAAAAGCGAAAAUGCAUGGAUGGAGGCUCUUUGUUAGGCCAAACAUUCAAGGAGGGGGUAAUAAUUCACGUGUACCCAAUUAUUACUGUUAAUAAUUUAAAAUACAUGGGUCCAAUCUUAUGCCUAUGUUUUUGCUUAAAUUUGGUUCUUAUGCAGAUUAUAUAAAAAAUGUCGAAUAAAAAUUUCUUACUUGAAAUUUCAACCACGGUUGGCAGUGGCUCUCGUUGGCAGCAAAGGGUCCUUCAAUCCGACUCCCCGACGAUUUUUGUUGAACUUUUGGCCGGCGGAUUUUAGAGCUUCAAUUUUGUGGAAAGUAAGAGCUUCAAUUUUGUGGG